GGGUUGUUAGCUCAGUUGGUUUAGAGCACAUGCUUGACAGGCAUGGGGUCGGCAGUUCGAAUCUGCCACAACCCA
rnacentral:tRNA from 1 species